rnacentral:rRNA from 1 species
UAUGGUUGUGUGCCAGCACCGCGGUAAUACGGAGGAUCCGAGCGUUAUCCGGAUUUAUUGGGUUUAAAGGGAGCGUAGGCGGGUUGUUAAGUCAGUUGUGAAAGUUUGCGGCUCAACCGUAAAAUUGCAGUUGAUACUGGCGACCUUGAGUGCAACAGAGGUAGGCGGAAUUCGUGGUGUAGCGGUGAAAUGCUUAGAUAUCACGAAGAACUCCGAUUGCGAAGGCAGCUUACUGGAUUGUAACUGACGCUGAUGCUCGAAAGUGUGGGUAUCAAACAGG